AAUAAAAUAAACAAUUUACUUAGCAAAUGGUGAUAAUGUUUGUUAAUGAAAGAGAGUACGGGACAAAUUAACAUUUAAACCUUAAACUAGCAGCGCACGUCACUUUCUGAAUGAGGUGCGCGACGUGCGCGUGCCCGUCAUUUUGUAACGGUCAACUUCCAGCGGACGGACACGGAGGAAAGGGCCUGACAACCACCAGUUGAGUCCAUGAUUCAGGGAAGAGACAGUCUGGGCAGCAGCAACAAGACAACUAUUACAAGUAGAGAUGGGUUUCAAGAACUGGUACUAAUUUGGUUCCUGACUUGUUCAGUACUGAAAACAUUUACAUAAGGUACAGGAUCAAUAGUGCUGCUAUCAGUAUUCUUGUAACAUUGAUUCAUUACCCUUUAGACACAACCACAUAUCCUCCAAAUCAUCUCUGCGUGGAUGGCAGCAAGGAUCCAGGAUCAAGAGAUCAUUCAUCAUGGAGACUGUUCCACAGGAAGCAGUUUCUCCUGGGUCAUCCUGACCAUUCUGCUGUCCUGGAUGUAAGGCCGUGCUGCAACUACAUUUCUCGUGGUUGAAAGAUUUGUGCAGCGGUAUAAAGACAUAUAACGCCCCAUCACACGGGGCGUCAACGCCUCUCGUUUACUUUUAAAUGAAGUGACGUCAAGGAUGGUGAAAUUAAUUCUAGAAAUUAAUUCUAAAUAGAAGUUGAAGACUUCUCAAGCGCCAAUGCAGCCGUCCUCCAGUCAGAACAUCUUAUGCAAAUACCCUAGCGCAGACGCAAGCCAAUCGAGUGCAUGCAAUACCAGAAAACUAAUGUGAUUGGCUGUCACUAUGAGAAGAGACAGUAGUUCUGAUCCGAUAUCAGUGUCGUUUUUUACAAAAAAAAUUUUAAAUCAAUGUAGAAUUUUCUAUACUUCUGUGUAGGGAUGUCAAUUUUCAAUCAUUUCCAUGAUCGAUCGUUGUUUAAAUUAAUGAACAAAUAAUCGAUUAAUCGUUAACCUUAAUGCUGCAAAGUCUAUUGCAGUAACACCCAGUCACUGGUAUGACAGGAUGUGCAAAAGUGUGUAUA